AAAGGAUUGUUGCUAUGAGUUGACGAUCGUCAGCAAACACCACUUUCAUGUCAUAAUAGUACCUAAAGAAGCUGGUAUUAUUCUACAAGAGGAUUCUUCACCACUUCACCAACAUAAGAAGUGGUCAAAGGAAUUUCUAACAUGAAAUAUAUUACACACAGCUAUUUCUCAGACUUCAUUGAUUCAAUGAAUAAAAUAAUGAUUUCAAAGAAGGGAAAAAAUAUGAAAUACCAAUAUCCUUGAUAAGUGAAAAUCAUAUCUUGUGUAAUCUACAUCAAUAUCUAAGGCACCAAGAAAUAGAUGUUGUCAUCAAGUUCGGAGUGAAAUUAUAAACAAAAUUCUAAGCCAUUUACAUUCAAAGCAAUUCAAAUAGAAGGCCAAUCAAGUUAUCUUUCCUCUUUUAAGACUUAAAAAUACUCACAGGUUCACCAGAAGGUCAUCAAUCACUUGGUCUGGAGAAUCGCCAAUAAAUUUCUACAGAUGUUCAAUAAAAUGCUUCUGAGCCACCCCUUUUUGAUGUUUAAAACAAGACAUCUAACUAGGAAAAUAUGAACUCCUGUUGAUCCAGGCUAAUUUAUGCUAUUGAUAGCUAGGUUCAACAUGGCAUGAAAACUCAAAAUAAAGUAUCUCAUGAAUUUAGAUAACAGAUUCUCUAUACCAAUCAUGGCGAUGCACCACUAUAAACUGCUCCCAUCCCACAUAGCAUAUUUAUACUUCCAACUGCUUUCUUAAUUUGAUGGGAUACCGGGAUGAUUGACUG
rnacentral:misc_RNA from 1 species